GCAAACUUGGUCAUUUAGAGGAAGUAAAAGUCGUAACAAGGUUUCCGUAGGUGAACCUGCGGAAGGAUCAUUACGAAUCGGAAAGCACCGGCCCGUCCCUCCGAACCCCUCGCGGGAUCGGGGCCGACGCGUCCGCCGUGUCCACCCCUCUGUGAAACUCUGAAAUCUGCUUCGGCAGCACCGGGCCGGUUAAUCCGGUCGGGGUAAGGCUGCCAGAAGCCCAUCUUAAAAACCAGUUGAUGAAAUGUCAUGCGGUCUUAGAAAUUACGUAUUUGAGAAAUCGAAUAUCCUUUAAAACUUUCAGCAACGGAUCUCUUGGUUCCCGCAUCGAUGAAGAACGCAGC
rnacentral:misc_RNA from 1 species